AUAAGCAGCUAUAUCACCCUGCAGCUCUCAACUUAUACCCACUGAGGCUAAGCAGGGUUGAGCCUGGUCAGUACCUGGAUGGGAGACCUCCUGCGAAGCUAUUGUUCCUGCUGGAA
rnacentral:rRNA from 1 species